rnacentral:rRNA from 1 species
CGGAGGCAGCAGUGAGGAAUAUUGGACAAUGGGCGCAAGCCUGAUCCAGCAAUGCCGCGUGAGUGAUGAAGGCCUUAGGGUUGUAAAGCUCUUUCACACGCGACGAUGAUGACGGUAGCGUGAGAAGAAGCCCCGGCUAACUCCGUGCCAGCAGCCGCGGUAAUACGGAGGGGGCAAGCGUUGUUCGGAAUUACUGGGCGUAAAGGGCGCGCAGGCGGCUGCUCAAGUCAGGCGUGAAAGGCCUGGGCUCAACCCGGGAAUUGCGCUUGAGACUGGGCUGGCUUGAGUGCGGGAGAGGAUGGUGGAAUUCCCAGUGUAGAGGUGAAAUUCGUAGAUAUUGGGAAGAACACCGGUGGCGAAGGCGGCCAUCUGGACCGCAACUGACGCUGAGGCGCGAAAGCGUGGGGAGCAAACAGGAUUAGAUACCCCGGUAGU